UUGGGAGCUCACUGGCUUCGGAGUCAUGGAAACUCCGAAGUUAAGCGAGUUUGGGCUAGAGGAAUCCCAGGAUGGGUGACGCACUGGGAAGUUACUCGUAAGUUCCCAAA
rnacentral:rRNA from 1 species